CAUGCCGUAAACGAUGAUUGCUAGGUGUGGGUGGACUGACCCCAUCCGUGCCGGAGUUAACACAAUAAGCAAUCCACCUGGGGAGUACGGCCGCAAGGUUGAAACUCAAAGGAAUUGACGGGGGCCCGCACAAGCAGUGGAGUAUGUGGUUUAAUUCGAAGCAACGCGAAGAACCUUACCAGGUCUUGACAUCCACCGAAUCCGGAAGAGAUUCCGGAGUGCCCUUCGGGGAACGGUGAGACAGGUGG
rnacentral:rRNA from 1 species